CAAAAAAUCAGAGCAUAACCCGUUCUAACCCGAUUCCCUGCUCUGUUAUGUUAUGUCUGCCCUCCUCUGAUGCUUGGGAAAUCGUUUGUUCUGUGGGCUUCUCCUGAGGAGAUGGACGAUUUUCAGAGCUUGCAGAAAGAAUUUGAGACCACCUUCAACCAGAGAAGCCUCUGUGGAAAUGUGCCGUCACUGGCCAGUUGUUCUGUCUGUCUGCUGUGGAACCCAGGCCCGUGAGAAGAGCAGGGGAGGUAUAGUCAUUUCCCUUGUUUUACGGCAGAGGAAACUGAAGAUAAAGCUAUGAAGUGAAGCUGGCUAGUGGCUGCCUCAGGGUUACUACUGAUAUCACUGGACCCCUUCAGAACCAAGCAUGAAUGAAGCAAUCCUUUUUCCCACCUGCAAGUGAGGCUCUGAGGGAUUCUUCAGAAAUCAAGACUUUGACCCACUCCAUAUUAUGAAUGCCUCAGCCUACAAAGAGCUUGCCUAACCCAACAUCAAGGGGUGGACACGUGAUGCUGGACUUCCAGUUAUUGUCUCCCUGUCCCCUGGCUCCAAGUGCAUUGCAUCAUGAAAGGAAACUGUCACUCUUUUCAGCAUUGGCUGUUCUGACUUGGUAUUUUACUGCAUGGUGAUCUGAUGCUGUUGGGGAGACAGGCAUGUGGAGCAUUUUAAGCCACGAAGGAAGGUAUGUGAACUAAAUCCACAACUCACCUCUUAGGAACAACUGCCUGAGGAUAGGGUUCUUUCAGGACAGGGGAACAGAUAGUACUUGUGAAAGAAGUCAGCGGCCCCUCUUGGACUGCCCUCCUCACCUUUCUCAGGAGCCAAGGCUGUGAGGAAUCCAAACAACAAAGUCCCACCUGCAGCCACAGUCCUUCCACUCGAGCAAAAAUGGGUGUUUGAAGAACUUACUCCCAUGAUGCGGCAGUCAAGGAGAUGCACAGUAGAGGAUCAAAAAGCUGACAACUUGGCCUCCCCUGGGUCGCUUCCAGGGGAGCGCGGCUUCACCGCUCGAACCAGCUGGCCAAGUUCCGUAUGCUCUUGGGCCGGUCCCCAGCCCUCUGUACAGCCUGGCACACCCGGCACCAAGGCUCGUCCCAGAAGGAGGUGAUGUGGACAGCGUAGCUCCGGCGCCAGUGGAAGUAGCGGCGAUAGACCGCGGGGUUGCGGUCGAGGAAAAGCAGGUACGAGGCCAGGGAGGAGGCACUUGGGAAGUCGUCCACGUGGAUGAAGGCGCCGCGGGGCACAAAGCGCUCGUAGUUGGCACGGUCUGGGCCCAGCACCACCGGCACCGCCCCAGCGAGCAACGCGUUGCGCCAGAGCUUCUCGGUGAUAUAAUCCAGGUGCUGCGAGUUCUCGAAAGCCAGGUAGAACUUGUAGCGGGCCACUGUGUGCAGGAG
rnacentral:lncRNA from 1 species